CCGAUAUCGGCUUUGUCCACCAGUGAUGACACACCCGGCAAGUUACAUAUAUUUCUGGUGCAGGAUUUCUCCUUUCGUCAUACAUACGUAAACAACCUCUCCAUGAAUAGAACAGCUUCUGGCUCAUUUUAUCUUUCUCCUACCAAAGGGAUACACAUGCAACUUGAUACAAAGAAGCAAAUAAAAAUUUGUAUAACAGAAGCAUCGAGACCUGCCCAUUAGUUGAUGUCCAUUAUCUCAUUGCGAUGUAGAGGUUUCGACAGCUGCCUCUCCCUUUUCAUCAAGUAGGUGUGCAUGCCUGUCAAGCAGCAGACGCGCGCUGUCAAAAAACGCUCCAACAUAUAACAGGAUUACCAAGUUGCCGCCUGGAUGACCCUAGAUCUGCAGUGAAGCGUUGAAAUUCACUUCUACAAUUAUUUCUAAGGUGGCCUAGUGCCUGUAUAGAAGACGAUUUCGAAUAGUUAUGUGCUAGUUAGCAAAAGCAGAGUCAUACGAUUCAUAUUCGUUCUGAAUCUAACACACCCAAGUAAGACCUCUACCAUGCGUAAUAAAUGUAAUUUAACAUUAUAUGGGAGAAUGAUUUACAAAUUAGGUUCUUGUCAGCAUAUAUUCUACACUCUCAAGUAAGCAUUUGCACAUAGCCAGACAAUCUUCCAAAUAGCUGUGACAAUUUAUGUGUUUUUUUGCAUAUCGGUUUGACAAGGCUUCACUAGUUUUAAAAUGGCCCAUCUGAAAAACAUCGGAUUUGUGGUAACCGUAGACUCCAAUGUAAAUUGGAGGAAAAGUAGUAGUAGUAGUAGAAACCGACAGUGGCUGAAAAUGUGCGAAAGAGGCGUAAAAUUGGAGAAAUAAGUCGAGCCUUAAAAUAAGUUCCUCAAUAGAGCCGCUAAAAAAUGUGUUCAAUGUUUUUUUACCCGAGCGGCUUAAAAUUUACACGGAAUUUGGAAGUUGCAGUGUGAGGUAGCGGGCUACAUUAGAGUAUAACAGGUUAAAGAUAACGGCUUAAUGGGAGCCUUUAACGGAAGUGUGUUGCAGUGGAUAACAGGAAUAAACUGAAUGAAACUAAACGUUUUAAGUUGUACGUAUGGUACCGCAUUGCCGCUAAAGACUCCAUCCGGCGGCUGCCUCGGAUUCGAACCCAGAUCACGACGUGCGCCUAAGAUUAGGCUAAUCUAUCAUAAGGACAGGACAAUGGGACAACGGCUAUAGGGUAAUAACAGAGCAAUGAAAUAGCAUAAUAGGACAAUAAAAAUAAUUGUAACGAAGUAACGAAGACAGUGCAAUGUGGUGAUAAAACAGCUGCAGCAAAUUCGGGUUUAGAAGUUGCGUUUAGGCCGAGUAUGUGUAAGCUAGCUUUUGCAAUGAAACAGCGAAAAUCAUAUAAUAGUAUUGAGCAACGUCCAGCGCGUCUGUACGGUAUGAGUCACGAAGAAGUGCAUAAGCCUGAAUGACCACAAGCAAAGGUCAGCGAAUGUUAUAGAUGUGAUGCUUGCAUAAGUAACAAAACUGACGACAUUCUCUUGGUCCCUAUAUUGUUUCAUAUGGCACUAUUAGUUUUAUCUUUUAGCAAAAUGUGAAAAAUGAAGCGUAUUUACGAGAUGUAUUAGCAACUGUGCAUUCACAGCCUCUGAUGUUCAUUUGCAUUUUAUUAUUAUUAUUAUUAUACAAUGGGUGUCCGGGCUUAAGCCCUAGAGCUUUAAAAAAAUCACUUUCAAAAAUGAUUAGAGGGUUCUCUGAUAUUCCAGCACGGCAAAACUGCAACUCGCUUUUUUCAGUUCGUGUCUGUAUUAAGCUCGACGGAAGCCCAUUGGAUUAAUCUAUAUUAGAGUAAUUAAAUAAUUUAUAAUGCUGUUUCGAUGCUACGAAUGUUGCCCAGUCCGUCCAGGUUCGCCUAUUCAUUAUCAAGGUCAGUGAUCCAGCAACCAUAAUUCGCGGCAGCAAUUCUAUUGAAUACUAAGUGCAAUACAUAUUCGUUAUGCUAUGAUAUCUACAAAAUAGAAAACCUAGCGCCAAAUAAAAAAAUGUAAAAUUCUGUAGACACACACAGUACAAGCACUGCGUUGUUUCAAAAACACCUCAUUUCCUCAUGGUUAGCUCGCCUUAGCCGUUGUCGGUGCGCAGUUGUCUGAAAAAUUCUUUCCAUUUUUUUAUACUAAGUCAAUUUAGUCAAACUAGCCAUUCAAUUGCGUCGUAAAAUAACUAGGAUGAAUAUAUUAUCGUGCCCUGAGCGUAGUAAUAAAAGGUAAAUCAGACAAAAUUCAACAGAGAAUAUCGUAAAAUCGCGUUUAGUAUGUGAAAAGGUCAUCCGACGCAGCUUUAGCAGUACCCGCUUAGCUUCAAUGACGUCUACGAAUAACGCAAGGUAUCCUCCAUGAUUUAUCAGAGCUUGUUCAAGUUAUAGGUGCGCGUUUUAGGAUAAACCACUCGUUCUAAUUAGGCACCUACCGAUCAAAUUCCUAGUUCUGACUUUCAACUACAAUGUAAUUUAGUGACAACUGAAAGACGAUAUUAAGUCAGGAUCUAUUUAGCAGUAGAAUACUCUCUAAAGAAAACAGUAAACUGUGUGCUAUCUACUUUCUACAGUGGCUUUUGAAUGAAGCUGUAUAUCAAAUCACAAAAGAGUACUCCUGUUUAUCAUCGAAUCCUCUUUUUUUGCAGAGAAGAUAUUUAGCUGAAAAAGUAUUUAAUUGGUUUUCAAGCGAUCCGUUUUCAACCGAUUGUGGUAAUAGUUGUGCACUACGUUAUUUCUGAUGGACUGUAAAUAAAACCUGCUACAUUUUCCACAACGAACCCUCAGCUGCUUUUUUAAUAACCGGCCCCAUUAUGACUGUCUAUUGUUGCUUUACAGAUUUUCCAUCAAAGGAAGUGGGACUCACUUCAAGCAAUGCGAACAGGUUCCAGGUGAUUAAGAGACCGCAAAUGGGAACGCCUGCUAAAUGAAUGUCUAACAAAAUAAAGAUUUAUGCAAACAUAAUGCAUUUAUAUUCAUUUCGAAUUGUUCCAUACGACUUUUCAAAGGUGAAAAGCGCACAUAUUUUUCUUAAAUUCUGAAGCCAUGUCACAGUUAUUAAUACAAUAAUUGUCGUGACUUCGUAUACUAAAGUUGGAAUAACGCGAAUCAAUUUCUAAACCAUCUAAAAAUCUUUAUAUAAAAUAGUACUUUAGCAGAAUACGAAUGCUAUGGCAAAAUGCAUUUUCAGAAAACGUAAUUUUAACUAUAAAUUGGAUUUAAGUGCAGUGUCGUAUUGUGUGUCAUCGUAGCGUCUGACAAAGAGGACCAUGAGCAAAAUUUAUUUGUUUGUCCACGGGUCGCAAAAAAACAAGAACUGUGACCAGUAGUUGUUCACGCUAAAGGAAAUUGAUUUCACGCAGUAGUAUUUAACAGGUCUUCGCGGCAUGUAGAGAUCUUUGGUUUGGAAAUAGGCCAGGACAUUGA
rnacentral:lncRNA from 1 species